GCCAGGCAUGGUGGCUCAUGCCUGUAAUCCCAACACUGGGAGGCCGAGAUGGGAGGAUUACUUGAGGUCAGGAGUUCAAGACCAGCCUGGCCAAUAUGGUGAAACCCCAUCUCUA
ensembl:misc_RNA Metazoa_SRP Metazoan signal recognition particle RNA